rnacentral:rRNA from 1 species
GAAACUCAAAUGAAUUGACGGGGGCCCGCACAAGCGGUGGAGUAUGUGGUUUAAUUCGAUGCAACGCGAAGAACCUUACCUGGUCUUGACAUCCCGGAGACCCUUAGGAAACUAGGGGGUGCUUCCAUCUGGAAGAAUCUGGAGACAGGUGCUGCAUGGCUGUCGUCAGCUCGUGUCGUGAGAUGUUGGGUUAAGUCCCGCAACGAGCGCAACCCUUGCCUUUAGUUGCCAGCAGUUCGGCUGGGCACUCUAAAGGGACUGCCGGUGUUAAACCGGAGGAAGGUGGGGAUGACGUCAAGUCCUCAUGGCCUUUAUGACCAGGGCUACACACGUACUACAAUGGCCGAUACAAAGGGCAGCGACACUGCGAGGUGAAGCCAAUCCCGUAAAAUCGGUCUCAGUCCGGAUUGGAGUCUGCAACUCGACUCCAUGAAGUUGGAAUCGCUAGUAAUCGUGGAUCAGCAUGCCACGGUGAAUACGUUCCCGGGCCUU